rnacentral:sRNA from 1 species
UUUCUGGUUGCAGGGCUAGCUAGAUACCUGGAAUUUUCCUUGAAGGAACUGAAACAUGUUCCUUCAUCUCCAGGGUGGGGUGGAGAAGCCUGACAGGCUCCUAAGUGGGUCCCUGCGCCAUCUCAAAAGUGCAGACAUCCUCAGCACCAUCGGCUAUGACAACAUUAUCCAACAUCUGAACAAUGGCCGCAAGAACUGCAAAGAGUUUGAAGACUUUCUAAAAGAAAGGGCAGCAAUUGAAGAGAGAUAUGGCAAAGAUCUGCUCAACCUCUCUAGGAAGAAGCCGUGUGGACAGUCUGAAAUCAACACCCUGAAGCGGGCCCUUGAAGUCUUCAAGCAGCAAGUAGACAAUGUGGCACAAUGUCACAUUCAGCUUGCACAGAGUUUAAGAGAAGAGGCCAGGAAGAUGGAAGAAUUCAGGGAAAAGCAAAAACUACAACGAAAAAAGACAGAGCUCGUAAUGGAUGCUAUCCAUAAACAAAAGAGCUUACAAUUCAAGAAAACCAUGGAUGCAAAGAAGAACUAUGAGCAGAAAUGCCGGGACAAAGAUGAGGCAGAACAGGCCGUGAGCCGGAGUGCCAACCUGGUGAACCCGAAGCAACAAGAAAAGCUUUUUGUGAAACUGGCAACUUCAAAGACCGCAGUAGAGGACUCGGACCAUUGAUGGCCAAGCCCAUCUGAAUUUAAGAUGCUAAAGUAUGAAAAAAAUACAUCCUAGAAUCAAUGAAAUACCAUAUUUUGAUUCCAUUCCUCAAGAUACUUUCAGAGUUAUAAAACCAGUCCUCAAUUUUGGGUCUUCACAGGAAUCUUUCCCUUGCUAGACCCCAGAAUUUUAAAUGCAUCCAUCUUACACUUUCACAAAUAUUUGGGUUUUCCUUUUUCACUCACAAACAGCAGGGAGGUCAUGUACUUUUUGUACAACAUCUGUGCACUAUGAGAAAAUGGUACCUUUUAGUUAUUGACAAGUUAAAAUAGCACUCUCAGUUUUUCAGUAUUACAGAGAGCAAAUAGUUUCCUCUCC